rfam:West Nile virus from South Africa, complete genome
CCAAUGUCAGACCACACCUUGGUGUGCCACUCUGCGGAGAGUGCAGUCUGCGACAGUGCCCCAGGAGGACUGGGU